rnacentral:lncRNA from 1 species
CAAGCUCCUUUUGUCUGGGCAUCCCCCUCCCCCUCCCCAGAAGUGGGGGCCGAGUUGCCCACUCCCCUUCCUAGCAGCGGGUUAUUUCCAGCACGGAGCAGCUGCCCAAGUUACCUGGGAGAUGGGAAAAUCGUGUGAAAGCUGGUUAACCCUUUGAGGAUUAGAAUAAUGGUGGAAGCAGAAAGGAGAAGGAGUUUCACUCCAGGAUGUACGUAGGACCAGCCCUCCCUGCAGUCCUGUACUUCAAGGCUCAAGUCUUGUCCACUCCAAAUCACCACUGGGAUUCCUAAGUCCAGGACAGAGCUUCAGGCAAGGAAAAGAGAAGAGUUGGGAAAGCCAGUUUCCAACAUUUAUCAGCCACGUGUACCUGCAAACUAUAUACCUUGGGUAAAUCGUCAAUCUCUUGAAAUGGGAAUAAAACCAUCUGCCUUGUCUUUCUUA